AGAGUUUGAUCCUGGCUCAGGACGAACGCUGGCGGCGUGCUUAACACAUGCAAGUCGAACGGAGCACCCUUGAUUGAGGUUUCGGCCAAAUGAUAGGAAUGCUUAGUGGCGGACUGGUGAGUAACGCGUGAGGAACCUGCCUUUCAGAGGGGGACAACAGUUGGAAACGACUGCUAAUACCGCAUGACACAUAAGGAUCGCAUGGUCUUUAUGUCAAAGAUUUAUCGCUGAAAGAUGGCCUCGCGUCUGAUUAGCUGGUUGGUGAGGUAACGGCCCACCAAGGCGACGAUCAGUAGCCGGACUGAGAGGUUGACCGGCCACAUUGGGACUGAGAUACGGCCCAGACUCCUACGGGAGGCAGCAGUGGGGAAUAUUGGGCAAUGGGCGCAAGCCUGACCCAGCAACGCCGCGUGAAGGAAGAAGGCUUUCGGGUUGUAAACUUCUUUUGUCGGGGACGAAACAAAUGACGGUACCCGACGAAUAAGCCACGGCUAACUACGUGCCAGCAGCCGCGGUAAUACGUAGGUGGCAAGCGUUGUCCGGAUUUACUGGGUGUAAAGGGCGUGCAGCCGGGCAUGCAAGUCAGAUGUGAAAUCUCAGGGCUUAACCCUGAAACUGCAUUUGAAACUGUAUGUCUUGAGUGCCGGAGAGGUAAUCGGAAUUCCUUGUGUAGCGGUGAAAUGCGUAGAUAUAAGGAAGAACACCAGUGGCGAAGGCGGAUUACUGGACGGUAACUGACGGUGAGGCGCGAAAGCGUGGGGAGCGAACAGGAUUAGAUACCCUGGUAGUCCACGCUGUAAACGAUGGAUACUAGGUGUGCGGGGACUGACCCCCUGCGUGCCGCAGUUAACACAAUAAGUAUCCCACCUGGGGAGUACGAUCGCAAGGUUG
rnacentral:rRNA from 1 species